CAUGACGCAGCACGCCCGACAUUAAGCGCUAAAUACAUGUUUUGCCGAACUUCACAUUACUGCUUCACCUGAAGAGGAGUCACGGAUCGCCACUGAUAGAUGCCUUUAUCUUUAGUCUUUUAUACAAACUUUUGUAAAGAUGCUUUUGUAAGGUUGCGCCCUUUAACGCCUUUUGUUUAUUAUCAAUAAUAAAAGUGAAAGUAAAGCUGCAAGAAGCACUUAGUUCCGCAUGUGUGAGCCGUUGAGUUUUUCUAUCAGUCAGAAAAGAAUUAGUUGAAAAUAACCAGAAUGGCCUUUGAAGUCCGUGUCUGGCUUACUGAAACAACAUUUAAAACACUAUCAGUUGAAACAUCUGAAGAAUUUAAGAGAACCACAAUAAAGGACCUGAAGAAAAAAGCAUUACAUCAUAUCCCUGGAGUAAUCGAUGUUAACAGAGUUAGGAUGGUUCUUGGAAUAUAUGAUCUCGAAGACGAUAAAACCCUUGAAUUUUACAAGAUAAAUCAAUCGUCUCGUGUUCAAAUCGUUUUGAGAAUGCCUGGUGGUGGAGGCCCACCAGAGGAUUCAGAUGACAGAUUUCCUAGGAGUGAGUCUAUGGACAGAUUACAUUUGAAAAUGUAGCUCUCUUAGAUUAAUUUUGGGACAAGUUAAACGGACUGUCUGUUCACUGUCUGCCUUGAUGGUUUGGUUUGAACUGACCUGACUUAUGAGUGAGAGACUCCCAGAGGAGAUGUGUUAGAAAUUGAAAGACAAAAAUUCAUUCUAGGGAGGAAAAUACAACAUGCAGCUGUUAUUUGUCCGCGUGUCACAAUAAACACAAACACUGAUGAUCUGUGAGGAGAGGAAGGGAAAAAGAGAUCUGUGAUCUUUCCUCUGAGAAGAAAACAAGAUGGAAAACAAGAUGGUGCCGUUGUGUGUGGCCAGCCGUCUGUCGCUCCUUCUAUUAUGGUUUCUGUUCAGUCCUUUUUGCCUUUCAGUGAUUGAGAAGUGGUGGACAACCUUCUUCUACGAUCGUCAAACACUGAUUGAUAUUGGGACUCCAGCUACGAAUAUCGGAUAUGAUAUUAGUAAUGGUUCUCACUCGCACUACUCAUCGUUUCGGAUGAAUAUCCCUGAGCACCUGUGUCGGCGGCUCAUGGCCACUAUCCACAAGAAACGCAGCAGAAAGCGUUGUAAACGUGGUGCUACUGCUAUCAGACUGAAAACUGGAAUGAAUGCCUUUGUCAGCAGUUCUGCUCGGUGUGCGGGAGAUGUAGCUUUCACUGCCGUCAGAUUCGGCCGGUAGUGCCUGCCUCCCUCGAUGUGCCUUCGGUGUGUUUGCUUCGACGAAUUCGCCGGGCUGGAGUUCAUCCUCCGUUUCUCCACUCGCUAAACAGGGAAUCUCCAACAGAGAGUGCUCCACUGCCGCCUAGUAUGUUAUUACUCAAAGUCCGGUCUUUGGUAAAUAAGACUUUCAUUCUACAUGACUUGUCUGUCUCGCGGAAACUGGAUUUUCUUUUCAUGAUGGAAACAUGGGCUAAAGAGGGGGACUUGAGUUCCUCAUAAUUGCUCAUUUUUUAACACUUCGCAAUCUUCUGGUCGUGGUGGAGGUCUGGCCGUUGUUUUUAAAAACUCUUUUUUCACUGUUAGACAUUUCAAAGGGUUUUUAAUUGAUUGAGAUUAACAGUACCAUAACUGUACUAUAACUGUAUUUCACUUUUACAGUAAUUAAACACUACUAUAACUAUGUAAUACAGUCCAGGUACUGUAAAAACCUAGAUUAACAGUACAGUACUGUAAUCCUAUUCAGUGGUUUAUGUUUUUAGUAAAUAUAAAUUCGAUUUUAUAAUAUUUAUAUAAAAUCUACUUUUAUCCAA